CCUACGGGUGGCAGCAGUGAGGAAUAUUGGUCAAUGGACGAAAGUCUGAACCAGCCAUGUAGCGUGAAGGAUGACUGCUCUAUGGGUUGUAAACUGCUUUUAUAAAGGAAUAAAACGAGGUACGCGUGCCUUUUUGCAUGUAUUGUAUGAAUAAGGAUCGGCUAACUCCGUGCCAGCAGCCGCGGUAAUACGGAGGAUCCGAGCGUUAUCCGGAUUUAUUGGGUUUAAAGGGGGCGUAGAUGGGUUGUUAAGUCAGUUGUGAAAGUCUGCGGCUCAACCGUAAAAUUGCAAUUGAUACUGGCAGUCUUGAGUACAGUUGACGUAGGAGGAAUUCGUGGUGUAGCGGUGAAAUGCAUAGAUAUCACACAGAACACCGAUUGCGAAGGCAGCUCACGAAUCUGUGACUGACGUUGAUGCUCGAAAGUGUGGGUAUCAAACAGGAUUAGAUACCCUUGUAGUC
rnacentral:rRNA from 1 species